UUAAAUCAUCUUUAAUGCUCUCCAUUUUCCAGUAAAGCUGAGGUCAGGCCAUCAGCCAACUGAAGGUGGGGAAGGAACUGUGGAGACUGGAGGAGAGGAAAGAAGAUGUGAAAUACUCAUCUCAGAGUGGGGAAGAAUGGCUUCUUAGAUGGAGCCCGUCAGCUCAGCUGUGUGAUUUUCUCCAGCGGUUGUUCAGCAUCCUAGCAUCCUCAAGGUCACCCCAUGGUCCAGGAUGGCCGCCAUCACAUCCAUGUGCCAGGAGGCAUCUAAAGGCAGGGAGAAAAGGCAAAUUGUUGUGCCUUCUAGGAGUGACAGCGGAGCCCAAUUAUGCAGUUUCUUUUAAUAAUGGAGCAGAAUGUGACUACUUUUCAGAGGCACAGCCAGCCAGCAGCCACUGUCACCUUUUCUAUUCAACAAAAGGAGAAAUUCAUCCACUCCUGCAUCUGUCCAGACAGCCGCUCAGCAUCUACUGAACUAUGUAUCAGGACUUGGCCUUCUUACUAGAGAAGUUCUCUCUCCAAAAACAGUCCCAAAGGGAGUUCCUUAAGUGCUAUGAGACCCUGUCCCUGUCUACAGCUGAUUGCAUUGGAUGUGGAUUCCUGACCCAAGAUAAGCCAGCCACAUUUAACCUAAAGACAGAGAGACUACAUUAAUUGUCCUGGGAAGUUGAACU